CAGCCUUAGAAACGGCUACCACAUCCACGGAAGGCAGCAGGUGCGCAAAUUACCCAAUUCUGACACAGAGAGGUAGUGACAAGAAAUAACAUUAGCGCAGCUUUUAGUUGCAUUUUGGAAUGGAAACAAUGUAAAAACCUUAUUUAGUAUCAAGCGGAGGGCAAGCCUGGUGC
rnacentral:rRNA from 1 species